GGAGGGGGGGCAAGCGUUGUUCGGAAUUACUGGGCGUAAAGGGCGCGUAGGCGGUCCCGCAAGUCCUCCGUGAAAUCCCACAGCUCAACUGUGGAACUGCGAGGGAAACUGCAGGACUUGAGUCCGGGAGAGGAGAGUGGAAUUCCCAGUGUAGCGGUGAAAUGCGUAGAUAUUGGGAGGAACACCGGUGGCGAAGGCGGCUCUCUGGACCGGUACUGACGCUGAGGCGCGAAAGCUAGGGGAGCAAACGGGAUUAGAUACCCCGGUAGUCCUAGCCUUAAACGAUGAGCACUUGGUGUGGCGGGUAUCGACCCCUGCCGUGCCGAAGCUAACGCAUUAAGUGCUCCGCCUGGGGAGUACGGUCGCAAAGGCUG
rnacentral:rRNA from 1 species